GAAAUAAAACAAGCUAACUCCUCUAUGCCACCAGCUCCAGACAAUAACUAAGACACCUUUGCAGAAUCAGGUGUUUCUGAAGGUUGAUAAGUGUAUUACAAAGACAAGAUCCAUGAUGGCUAUCUUGGUCCAACUUCUUUCACUUUGCUAUAAACUACUGAAGAAGCUUCAGGUGGAAAACAGCAGAUGGGUCUCAGUUACCAACAAAGAUUCCGUGGAUGGUAAAACUUGAGAGCCUUUUGGUGUCAGAUCUUUGAACAUCAUGUGGCAAAGCUGACAUUUUUAGAAAGCAAGUUUUCUUUGUGUUUUUCAGAAAUUCAACAGUUUUAUAAAGAAGACAAAUCUGAAAUCAUCCUAUAUUUUCUGAUCAUGAAACCAAUUGUAAAACUAUUUGACAACUAAUAAAUGACAUGAUAGUUGUUAGAAUUCAAAUUGCAGUGUCAUUAUCAAAUGGAACAUUGCCAUUGAU